rnacentral:lncRNA from 1 species
AUAUCCAGAUCCUGAGGGUUGCUGUUUACAAAGAGCAAUGGGCCAGCUCAUCUUGCUGACAAAAGCUGUGACGUGGACUUUGACCUGAAACCGUUUUCUCAACAUAUAGUCCAUCAGGGUGUGGGUAGGUUUUUGUACACGAUCAAGUGUUGAUUCGUGGACGCUGGAGCAUGGAAACCAUUCCAAAGGAGUUGGCUGAUUGGCGGACGAACGAUGAUGGUGAAAACUGCCAUAGGAGUUGGCUGAUUGGCAAAAUGGUUGAGUUGGCUGAUUGGCAAAAUGGCUGAUCAUCUAUCGCGCCUUUGCUGAAUUUUGUAGAUCGCUACUUUAGGGAGAAUGAACAAUUAUCCAAAUAUGGAGAUAUUAAAUCUGCUCGAGCUAUGACGCUGGUUGAACAUAAGAAGCUAAUUGAAGGAGAUCCUUUAUUUUGUGACAAAUUGCAGUUCCAAACCUUAAGAAUUCAAGAUUAAGGACUCUUAUAAACCAAAGUUUGAACCAGCAAAAGCCUAGGUAGUCCAUCUAUUUCAGCUGCUUUGAAGCAUCCAAGAGCUCCAACAAAUUCUUCUUUGGAAGCUCCCUGGUUGCGGGUCUUACAAAUGAUCCUCUGAAAGUUGGCAUUCAUCAGAAGCUGUUGGCUACUUUGGAAGGUUCCAAGAACUUCAUGAAGAAUAUAUGUGAUAAAUAUGUUAUACUUUUAAUUAUCG